ensembl:lncRNA
UUUACUGGCAAAGAGACAGAGGUGAGCUUGGGGACAGGUCAUGGCUGGCCUCCCCCGCUCCCCUCCCCAGUUCUAUCCUCCAAGUCCCCGUGGCAUAUUCAGUCCCAAGGGCCAGGCUCAUACAGUCACGCCCUCUUGCUGGCACUUGGCUGAUCGGCAGGAGUUGGGCAGCUAAGCUACUGAGAGAGGCUGGCAAGGACAGACGUGCUGUUUUUUCUCUUGGAGCCUGCCCACCAUUUAAUUCAAGAUGCUUUAAUUGAACACCUACUCCAUGCCAGGCACACGGGGAAAUCAGAUGCAGUUUUGACACCAUCCUUACUCCUUAGUAGCUUAGAAUUCAGCAGAAAAUGAAGGCAGAAGUAUGUGUUGUCCUGAGUUUCUACUUUGGCCCUGAGAAGUUACCAUAGAAGCGUAAAGAAGGAAGAGACUUUCCAACCAGGGACAGCCCUACCAAGGCUUAGUUCAGAGGUCAUUUGGUGAGGACCUACUAUGUGCAGAAGACUCCCUAGACACCUCUCUGAGGUACAGGAUUAUUAUCACCUCUAUUUUACAGACGAAGAGACUGGGGUUCUGAAAUGUUAAAUAACUUCCUAAAAUUAUAUCACCAGGAAGAGGUACAAACAGGAAGAGAUUUCCAGUCAAAGCAUAUACUUUUUCCAGGAAACUAGACCACCUACUCCUUAGAGAAGGCUGAAUUUGUCCUGAGCUUGAAGUAAGACUGACAUUUGGUCAGGCAGCUCUGAGGUGGAGGGCUUUCCUUCUGUUUCUGCACCCAGACAGGUGCAAACUGGCUGCCCUGAGACACAGUCACUGUCCUCCCACGGGGGUGCUGACAAAGCCUGAAAGCAUGCUUCGGAGGAGGCAUCCACUCCAGAUCCUCUCUCAGCCUCCAUCUGUGAUUCAGCCCUAAAAAAAUAACCUCGCUGCCAAUCCAGAUAGUCCUGGCUGCCCACUGAAACCAACAUCUCAGAUGGAUUUAGCACCUUCUGGAAGCCAUUCCUCAGUCAUGCACCAUUAAUAACCCGUUCAGCUAUCUAACUGGCCCGAGCACAAACACACCCCUUAUGUCACCCCGAGGCAAGUCUGUUCCCUCUCUUCUUAAAGGUCCUGCACUGAGGUUCAGAGAAGGUUCUCUCUCACCUUGGGCCUUCAAGAAAGGACAUCCAAAGAGAUAUCAUAUUCUCCGUGCACUACACCUGCUGGGAGGAGCAGAACUAAGAGCACAACUUCCACAAAUGAGAUAUCUGAUAGCCUGAGGAGUCGGUAGGUGCCCAAGGUCACAUGACAAGAAGCAUAGCUAAGGAGUUUGGCCCUGAACCUCUCCACAGAGGAGCAUCUGAGCUGGCUGAAGGAGUGACCAGCCCUGGGAAGGCACCGAGUGACACUGAGAGGGCUAGGAGAGUGUUUACAUCUCCAGCUCUGUUCUUGAGUGAUUCAUGCAGCCCACAGAAUAAAAUUAACAUCUCGUCCAGCACCAGAAAAUUAUGUUUCUUCCUUCAAAAAAAAAAAAAUCACAAUUUGUCUGCAAAGGCCCUGGCUUAUACUGGGGACAUGGAGCCAUCCUGUGGUCACUUCACUGGACAACCUGGCAGCUGCCAUCAGGACCCCAGGAACUGGAGGCAUCCCAGAAGUUGGCCCUAAACCGUGUGCUCUGCCCUGGCUGGACAUCCUGCUCCUGCCGGCAAUGCUUUGUCUGCCCCUUGUUUCCUCUGAACAAAUGUUCUACAUGUGACCAAGUGCUCUGGGGGCCUCCACACCUCUUUCUUGAUAUGGCUCCUAUUGCCCACAGGUGUCGAGCUAUUCAUCUCAGCUUCAGCUGCAGGGGCUCCACUCCAUGAGCCCUGGGGAGGGGGAGCAGUAGCCCCCUCACUUCGUGCUCCCACUGUCUCCAUGCACUACUCACAAGGAUAGACCCC